GAAGCGUCUCAGCAUUUUACUGCCUUUUCUCAACAGUUGCUGCCUCCACUCCAGGCUUUUAUUCAAGCAGCACCAGUACCUGGCAGUAGCUCCUACAAUGUUUUCUACAUUGGCUGUAAAAUCAUGGCCCAGUAGACACCAGUGCUUGACUUGAUUUUUUGUUUGUUUGUUUUGAGAAGUUGUUUACCAUUGGAGUGACGGGAUUUUCUUCACCUUGUGAAGUACAGGGAUCCUCAGGAUAGCUUCACUGGGGGUGUCAUUACAUGGUCAUUAUCAGUGAGACACAACCGCUUCAGGUGGGCAGUGACAAGGACAAUAGAAAGGCCAGGACACCACGGAAGGUCUGAAGAGGUAGUGGGAACUGGUAGGAGCACAUCAGUAGCUUUCCCUGCCCUUUUCUCUGCCACUGUGAUGUAAAUAUCAACUUGAUUUUACAUGGAGCUGAGGAACCUUUUAGAACCCAAUCGAAGAAGUUGGUGGUUCUACACUGAGCCAGGGGGAAAUCUUUGUGGUCACAAGGGAAUUUAUACUCACUUGGUUUCUCUGCCUUUCUCACCAAUUUCUUUUUGGUUUUCUUGAGAGCUGGUUGUGUGCGUAUGUGAAUACAUAUUGCAUAUUGAAAUUUUGGGUUUUCUGUUUUGAACCUUUAAUGUUCUACCCAUUUCAAAUACAUUCAGGAUGUCUGAUGCUGUUUUUAUAUAAUGUAAACUAUUCUUAAAAUGUCUUUUAUUUAAUUAAAAGAAUAAAAGAAACCAAAGUUAAGAUUUUAAAUUUUGUUUUGGCAUUUGUUACUGGUUGUGAUAUAUAAUUUUGGUAACAUUAGUGAGGGAUCAGGUUUAAAAAAUUUCUCCAAUGUUGUCUUCUGCAGAUUGCAAAUGUUUUGCAACUGCUAUUGGCAAACUAAAAAUGCUUUUGCUAGUUAAGGUAACCAGUCAUUUCCGAACUUUUUUUCAGUCGUAAGGGCAUAGAAUGAACAUGCACGCAUGAUUCAGUGUAUUAAAACUAAUAUCACGUGAGGACAUUUUAUAGAUAAGAGGUUAGAAGGCAAAUGACUCUAUUUUGAGAAAAAUUUGGAGGGAACCUUUCUUUCAAGAUAAAUAAAUUAUUUACUGUCCAGAAGUUUAUCAUGUAAUUAUCUGGAUUUUUUUUUUCAUUUCUCCGAGCUUUAGCUCAGCCUCAAUGGACCCUGACUUCAUAAAUACAGUACAUUUUUCAAUUUUAGAAGUCAUGGGAAGAGGCACACGACUUUGGGAAUUUGUGAAACUUAAAGCAAGUAUAAUGAAGAGAUACAUAUUCAUUUUGUUUGUGUUCUGUUUCCAUUCCAUUAUCUUCUACUAUCACCCAGGUUCAUCCUUGGCAAGGCCUAGACGAGUGGAAAGUUUCUCAUUUUGAAGUUAGUUGUUUUUUAAUUGGUCACGCAAAAGAAAGGCUUACAUUGAUUUUGAAAGACAAAACAUGCCAUUGUUUUUUUCACUAAUGCCCAACUUCUACAUGGCUGACUGGAUAUUGUUCAAAUUUUCCAAAAGAAUAAAAAAGAGAGAGAAACACCCUUCUUUUGGAUCCGAAGCCAGUCAUGGAAAAUUUCAUCCUGAAAGGAUAAUUUUUCAUAAAUAUGCAAGCAGCAGAAUGGCAGUGUGGCUGCAAUAGAAUCUGCCCCAGGACUUCAUGCAUAGUACUUUGCUGUAAACACGAAACUACAGGCACACAUAUACUCAAAAGAAUAUACAGUAUUGGAAGCCUAAUUAUUUCCACUAAGAUUGAGAUUUUUCCCUCUAAGAGCUAUACCGGAGAAAGCAAUGUGUCUUACUUCACUUUAUUCCACACCAAUUCACAAAUUUUUAUAGCAUAUAUACUCUGUGAAAGGUGGUACUGGGCUAAGGAAAAUAAUUCUGCCCUCAGUUUGCAAUCUAACGGGGAAAAUAAAGUCUACAUAUAUUAAAACCUAAGUCUGUUUGUUAUAAGUGCCAAGUAGACAAUAUGGACAGGAAGUACUGUGGAUCUAAGGAGGUCAAGCUCAUGGGUGUACAGGUUGUAAUAGUCAUGAAGCCUUUUCAGUAGCAGUAGAACUUGAAUGAUGGGGUGGAUCGGGAUAAUGCACAGAGUGGGUGCAUGUGGAACACUUACAAGAAGAGGGGAUAUGGGGAGCUGAUGACCACUAAGAACAGGGAGCCUGUAGUCUGUGGAUGUAUGUGGGGCCCUGCUGUGGGGGUGUUGAUUGACCUCUGUAGGCACUUUGCCUUCCUUCUUCUGUGUUCCCUCCAGCUAGGGUGGAGAGGACUGGUUCACCUUGGCUCUUCCGGGCCUGCCCAAAGGACCGUGCAACAUGAAGGUGAAGUCCUUGUAGAGCAAAGGGCAUGAGAAGUCUCUCUUCUAAACCUAGGCUCUGCCCUGUCUCUGUACUUUUAUUUCAUUCUGUUAGAUCUGGGAAGAGAUUUAGCAUGUUUCUGUAUUAGCAGAGCAUUUGAGGGAGAUGAUAACUAUUAAACAAGAGAGGCAAAGAGAAACAUUCAGAGAUGAACAGGUUUAUUGGGAUAAAGGGUGAGGGUACAGAUUUGAGGCUACCAUUCACAGACCAGGGCUGGCUAUUCUAGAAACAAUAGAUGUCGUUAGACAAAUAAUGAAACGAUGGUUUGGUAUUGGUGUUAUAAACCUCCAGAGGUUAAUAACUUGGUUGGAUUUUAGUGGUGGACACCAGCAAUCUUAGGAGGUCUAGCAGCAAGACUGGUUCUUGCCAAGUUAGGAGAUGUUAGUUUGUUAGUGCUGAUUGGAUGGAAUAAGCAUACUACCACUCUGUGUGCCCCCUUCUUUCCCCUCUGCAGGGUGUGAGAAUGGAAACAGAGAAUUACACUCCUGAUAACCCAAAUAUUCGCUAACCUGUGGUGGGGAUGCUUAUUCUGGCCGUUUAGGUGCAAACUUGUUUCUUUAACUGUUAGUUUUAUGGUGCCCAGGGUUAAACUUUAAAGUUGGACUGUUUACAUGCUUGGGACAUGGUGAACCAAACGGGGAAAGUAAGAUAACAACAGACUUGAUAAAGCCCAGCCGACUUCUGCCAGUAGGCUAAAACUCAUACACUCUCAGAUAUAUACAUACAUAUAUGGCCAAGAUGUCUUGCUGUUAAAUGGUCUUUAAGAGAGCAGAAAAGCCUUUUUAACAAAUGCACGUAUUAUAGAGUCUUUCCAAUAGCCUAUACCUUUCAACUUGUGAAGAUAAAUAAGAACAUAUGGUUUGUCUCAACAUGCUUUUAACAAAAACCAGAUGAACACAUGUAAAACAAUUAGAGAGUUGUCUUAGGUACCCUGAAGUUCUUAUACAGGAUAUUUGUUCUUCAUUCAACAUUUAUUGACUACCUACUGUGUUCCAGGCCACCAGACCCUGUGUUACAGGUUAGAGAUUUAAAACUCUAGUAACUUAUGUAUUAUAAUCUAUACAUGUCAUUUAAAGACAGCAUUUUCGGGCUGAGUGAGGUGGCGCACGCCCAUAAUCCCAGCACUUUGGGAGGCCAAGGUGGGUGGAUCACGAGAUAAGGAGUUCAAGACCAGCCUGGCCAAGAUGCUAAAACCCCGUCUCUACUAAAAAUACAAAAAUUAGCUGGGUGUGGUAGCAUGCACCUGUAAUCCCAGUUCCUCGGGAGGCUGAGGCAGGAGAAUGGCUUGAACCCAGGAGGCAGAGGUUGCAGUGAGCCGAGAUCACCCCACUGCACUCCAGCCUGGGUGGCAGAGGCAAGACUCCGUCUCAAAAAAAAAAAAAAAAAAAAAAAAGACAUAGCAUUUUCUUAAUAUAAUUAGCCUCCUGGUGGGAAGUAAUUGUGAUUGAGUGUCUAGGGCAAUGUAAUUAUCCUAAAUUUUAACCAGGUGAUUUUAAAAUCGCCAUUUGGAUAAUGGUCCCAUUAUGUCUAUUUGUAAACUGAGUCAUGAAAAACAUUUCAGGGUACCCAGGUAGGCGUUUAUGAUGCACGUAAGUAGAGGCCAGCCAAAAUUGUUUUGGUUUUGGUGCUUCCACCUGUGAUUAAUGUCCCACUUGACUCCUUGAUCCGUUUCAUCUGAAAUUAUAUUCCUGAAAUUCAUCUGGCUCUGCUGAUUAUCCCUACCUGGGCCUGUGGAUGAGAUCAGAGAGACUAGAGCUGGGGCUAUUUCUUGGUAAUGCAACUGCCAUUCCCCACGCAUGGGCACAAAUAGACAAUGCCUGUGGGAAUCCAAACCCCAAGGACUGUGAGAGGCACGCAUGCCCUGUAUUAAAGCAGCAGCCUGGCUUGGUGCUCGCUAAGUGCAUGGUCAGCAGUCACUACUCCUCUGACAUGUAUUGUCUGAGUCACUCAUUUGGCACUUAUUACAUCCUGUCUUGGGUUAUUAGUAACCUUUGCAUGCAUUUGUUUCUCCUCCCCAGCCGCACCGCCCCAGUGGUGCAGACUCAGGGUUCUCCUCGCCAUUCAAAUUCUUCACCAGUGCUCUUUAUGGGCAGUAAAUUUGAUUUUUAUUUUAAUUAUGAAAUGGUAGUGUUUAAGCUUAUUAAAAUAUAAGUAUUGUUUAUCCAAACAAUCAUAAAUGAACUUAUUAAAUUUUUUACAAACAGCUUUACUGAGACAUCUCUGACAUACAAACUGCCCAUAUUUAAAGUGUAGAAUUUGAUAAGUUUGAACUUCAUAACAUGAUUCCUUAUUCUUUUUUUCAGAUAACAUGAUUUCUAACUCAUUUUUUUUACAGAUAACAUGAUUUCUUACUCAUUUUCUUUUUCAAAAUGAUGUUUGAUGAGCACUGAUUUUACAGAGGGUGCCUAUCUGAGAGGACGAGGUGGGAACUUUUGAAAUAACACACUGGUGGUAAGGGGAUAAUUUGGUUCCCAGAUAACUUUGAGAUUCUAGUGUUUUUUUGGUUUCUGUUUUUGUUUUUGUUUUGUUUUUGUUUUUGUUUUUGUUUUUUUUUGAGACAGAGUCUUGCUCUGUUGACCAGGCUGGAGUGCAGUGGCACGAUCUUGGCUCACUCCAACCUCCGCCUCCUGGGUUCAAGUGACUCUUGUGCCUCAGCCUCCCAAGUAACUGGGAUUACAGACACACAUCACCUUGCCUGGAUAAUUUUCUUUUUGAGAUGGAAUUUCACUCUUGUUGCCAGGCUGGAGUGCCAUGGCGCGAUGUCCACUCACUGCAACCUCCACCUCCUGCAUUCAAGCAAUUCUCCUGCCUCAGCCUCGCAAGUAGCUGGGAUUACAGGCAUGUGCCACCAAGCCUGGCUAUUUUUGGUAUUUUUAGUAGAAAUGGGGUUUCAUCAUGUUUCAGCUCCUGACCUUAGGUGAUUCACCCACCUGGGCCUCCCAAAGUGUUGAGAUUAUAGGUGUGAGCUGCCACACCCAGCCAAGAUUCUAGUUUUCUGCCAUGGUAAAUUGAGGUGUUCUUGACAUAUAGUAGGCAUGAAAUAAAACCUGUUUAUUGAAGGCUAUGUGUAUGUAGUUGUAAAGUCACCUCAAUGCUCUUUACAAAAAAAGAAUAUUGUACAUCUUUUAUUUAUUUUUUAAUGGGGGAAUAGUUUGUAAUGGCCUUAGUAACUUUGAGCAUUUUAUCCUCUUGACAAAUCCAGCAGAGAUUUUACUUCCUGAAUGAAAGGACACUGGCUAGCCAAGGGUUGGUUGAAAGGUUCAGUGGGGAAAGUAAGUUGAUAUUCCUAUCACCGCAGAAUCUCUUUGUCUCUGGAUUUCCCUUUGAUUUUCACGAGGACUGAGCAAGUCCUGCAGGUAAUUCAGUGCCAGGGCAGGCUAGCUGAGUUUUAAUUGAUGCCAAUUAGCACCCCCAUAGACUGUGACAAUUUUUUCCCCUCAAGCAGUCAGCCAAGUGGCAUUAGGAAAUGUGAGACAUCUUUCUUUGGAAUCGUCAUAGGAGCAGAACUAUUUUCAGGCCCAGUCUCCUUGGCAGGUCUUGCCCUUCUCAGAAAUAGUGAGGAAAUGAGAUAAGAAAAGUAAUACUCUGAGGAGUAAGGUGCCAGGUAGUUCUAGACCCAACUGUGGGCUUAGGACAGCAGGGAGAGGAUGCUGAAGGAUUUUGCUCUCAAGUACCUUUGCUUCUAGUUGGAAAGAAUGAGAGAUGGGAUGGGAUGGAAUGAAGUCUGACUGCUGCAUGGGAGCCAGGGAAAUGCUUUGUGGGAGCAGUAUUUAUGGCAAGUCCAGAAGACAUCAUCUUACCUUGAACAAGUCAUUAGAGCUGGAACUGUAUACUGAUGACGAAAGAAUAAAAUAUAACAAGAUAAACGGUCCCAGGCAGUCUUGUGUGCUCUGUCCUCCCAGCUAUACUCCACCGGAAUCCAGUGUCUGCAUUUGGUGGUAGAUGCUCCUGUUUCUGCAUCUCUUGGCUAGAUGGCUAGAUAUAUAUUUUCCAUUGAUAGGCAGCUAAGUUUGCAGCCAAUUCUCAAUCAUUUCUUGUGGUGGGGGACAGAAAUAAUGUGGGAAGCUAAAUUCACCAUCAACCCAGGGAUUGUUAGUCUUCCUUGCCACUGAACACCAUAAACAACUUCAGGCCACAGCUGGCUUGGUGUUUGCAGGUAGGAGGGAGUGAGAAAUUAUGCCAGAGGUGGGAAAACUUGUCAAGUCAAGGGGGGUCUCUUUAUUCUUCCCCUCUCCAUUCAGAGAGGUGAUGGUGUCUCUCUACCUCAUUGAAACCUGCUCCCAGGAGCUUCUGAAGUUGGCCAUUUAGAGCCCAGUGUGAAUAUAAGGCAGUGGGUUCUCUUUUUCAGGAAAUUUGUAUUUUGAAUCUAGACCUCUUUGAUUGACCAGAAGGCCUUGGCUCCUGGCGAAGAAACCAUGGGGAGAUGGGGGGAUAGGCAAGCAUGAUUCUGAAAUGAUGCUGGGGAGGAUCAGGCCUAUUUCAUCUGUGCUCACAUGAACACCACAGUCAAGCCUAAGGCUGGGUUUUCAGAUAUCUGACCUAGACUCGCUAUAGGAAAUAUAUUCUGCCUUGUGGCAUAGCAUGUACCCUAAGGAGCAGUGGAACAGCACUUACCCUCACUACAUUGAGAGGCAUUUGAUCUAUGUUAAUAACCUAUUAUUUUACUUAAAAAAAUGUUGGUUGGACCUACAACAUUGAUUUUACAACCCCCUAGUGGCAUGUGACCCACAGGGCUAAGCUGAGUUGCUCUUUCUGGUUUCCUGCAUGCCUAGUCAAGGGGCAAGUUGGGACUGCACCUCGAUUUUCAUUUCUUUUGCCAAAUGGGCACCCAGACUUGGGGCUGGGUCAGCCAGAGGUGGCAGUGCUUUUUAUGAUAUGUGUAAGGGGCAGUGUGCACAUCCACGGAAGGAAUGCAUGGGACUUGUGUGUCCCCAGUCAACCCCAUUUGUAAUUUGCAAAUAGGAUCUGUGUGGCUGGCAGGGGGCUGGCAGUGUGCACCAGACAGAGGAAACAGAAGGUAGACUCCCAGGUGAGGAAGAGCUAGAUCCAGAGGGAGAAACAACACCCGCCCCGGCUUUGGCACUGGCUAGAGAGUCUGUUCCUGGCUUUUUCCUCAUGGCCCUUCUUUCACUUUGUGGUCUGAAAAUUGGCCAAAAGAUCAGGAAGGUGCUGAACCAAGACGAGAAGAAAAGGGCACUUGAAACCUAAACGCUGGCCAUUGACUCCUGGAUAACCAAGAUUUGGCUGAAGGGAAGAGCUAACGUUCUAUCUGCAUGGAAAAGUAAAGGAAGAUCAGUUCUCUGAUGAAAAUGAGAAAUAUUAUUAUUAAGUUGAUCAAUAGUUUGUUGAAAACUUUCUCUGUACCUGGUACUAAGAUACUCUGUUGUUUAAAUAGCUUCUUAUAGUCACUGUGGAUUACAGUAAUUUCUUUUUACAAGAUACAAGAUUUGCCCAUCUGCAUGAAUACCCAUAUUUUAAUUCUAUGAUUUGUCUUUACUUCUAGCUACUCACUAAACAUACAUUUCCUGAAAGCAGAAGAGAUUCAACUGCUGUUAUUUACGUAAUUACUAUCGUGCCAGGAGGGAGUGUCAGGGAAGUUAACAAAACAGGCCAAGUGCAGUGGCUCACAACUGUAAUCCCAGCACUUUCGGAGGCCGAGGUGGGCUGAUUGCUUGAGGUCAGCAGUUUGAGACAAGCCUGAGUGAAAUGAUGAGACCCCGGCUCCAAAAAAAUACAAAAAUUAGCCAGGCAUCGUGGUAUGUGCCCGUAGUCUCUUGACUGUAGGCAACUAGCAGUCUUUCCCCAGGUACGGGGGGCAGUGGUAUAGGACAGCUUUUAAGGGGGUAGAAUGUGACUCAGGCUUUCGUGGACUGGGUGGUAUUUGGAUGAGCCUGGUGACAGUCUGCACACUAUAGACUAGAGCACUCUGCUGUGACAGGUAUGCCUGAAUAGAACUUACGAAGAUCCUGCUCUGGCAGUUUAGUCACUGCCUGUCCACGGAUAGAACCCUGACUACUCAGUAGGCCCAAUAGACAAAUGAUAGCUUAGCAGGUUUGGGUUAUUAUUAUUAUUUUAAAAUUUAAGUACAGGAGAUUUUGCAUCAAUCAUAUAGAGAAUCACAUAUGGAAGUUCUUAGAGUGGGAUCUUAGUACCUUAUCUUGUAUGUGUCCUGUAUAAAACACACAGCUGAUCCUAUGAAGCCUGGCAAGUUUUAAAGGGAAGGAGUAUGCAAGCAGAAACCCAGAGGGCUUUAGCGGGGUAAAUGUAGUUGGAGAGGCCUAGAGAAAAACUUUUCCUUCUUUAUAAUUUUCCUGCUUCUAUUCUGUUUCAACUAAAUCCCAGAGCUGAAAUCAGCAAUUUAAUUGUCUUCCUUUGUCUUCUUCCGUAAGGGUUUGCAGAAUACAGAGCCAACAGGAUUACAUGGGGCUUUAGGGGGUCAUGCUGCCAACAAGAUAAGGAGGUCUACUACUACUGCCUUUAUUCACCAUUUUUCUGUGGGCACCAGCUGAUGCACUUGGACAAAAUAGAAAAAGGUAUACAUGCAGAAAGAGAGAAAUUGACUUAUCAUGUGCAUAUGAUAUGCUUAUAUGCUACACAAUAUGCUAUUUAUUACAAACAAUAAGGUAAUACAGUGCGGUGGCUUGACAUAGAAUUAAUAUACAAAAAUAGCCUUAGAGAAAAACAACAAGGUAGAAAACAGAAUGGAAGCAAAUGCUUCAUUCAUAGUCAGGAUAAGUGAGAAUAAUAAAGAACUAGCUCUGCCAGAUAUUGCAUAUUUUAAAUCAUAUUAUGGUUUAAACUAUAUUUAAUGUACUAAAUAUAGUUUAAUAUAUUUAAAUAUACUAGUAUAUUAGUAGAUGUAUAGUAUAUUAAUAUACUGAAUAUAGUUUAAUAUAUUUAAACUAUAUUUAAGUAGUAUAGAAUUGAUACUGUGUAGACUGAGAAAUCAGUAGUACAGAAUAGAAAUGGAAAAUUGGCGUCCAGAGCUAGACACCAAUACAGACUGAAAAUUUGUCUUUGGUGGCAUUUUGUAUCACUGAAGAAUGGUAGAUUAUUCAAUAGUUUGGGACAACUGGGUGGCCUUCUGGAAAAACAAAAAUUGGAUCUAUACCUAGUUUCUUCUGCCAGCAUAAAUGCCAGAUGAAUCAAAUAUUUAAAUAUUAAAAGCAAUAGAAGAAAAGGGAGAAAUUUAAAAAAUCUUGUGGUGGUACAGUCUUCCUAGGUAUAACACGAACCACGGAAAUCAAAAAGAGAGAGAUUGAUAUAUUAAAUUUCCAAAAACAAAACA